CACGCCUAGGUAUAUUAUCAAACAUCAGUUGUGAAUUGUGUGCAAUGUGUUAAUAAUAACUAUUCGGUAAACUUCUCAAACUUAAAAUUGCCCGCGACAUCCAUACAAUGUCAAGUUCACUAUCAUCUGCGGAUGUAGAUGGUGCUGGAGGGAUUUUAACUUCACCUAAUACAGUAUUAUCUGGUAUUAUUGUAUCUACUACUGGAAUACAACAUUCAUUUGAAUCUACACAUAAAUGAUCACCCAAUAAAGCAUGCAGUGGAUUUUGGGUUUCAGGAGGCACACGGUUAAGCUUACAAGCACAAUCCACUCUGUCCACUAUACCUGCAUUGUUCAUAAUGUCACAUUUCAAGUAUACAGGCUGGAAAAACACAAUAAUUCGUAAUUUUUAUAAGUAUUUUAUAUUAUAUAAACAUAUAAAAGUAGCAAGUAAAAUACCUGUAAUAUAAAUAAUAUUAUUAGUAAUAAUAAUGUGAAAAUAAUAUCUAGUGAACUAUGAUUAAAUGUUUUUAAUUGCACUAAUGCAGUCAAUAACUCCCUCAAUUAGAAUCUAAAAUAUUUAUAAUUAAAAAUGUUAAGAGGAUGUAAUACCAACAAUGUGUCUUACAAACAUACAGCAUAGAAAAUUUGUAUUCAGCACAACCAAUUUUGUUUUAAUAGCUUUAAUAUUAGAGUGAAUCAAACUUGAAGAUAAGAACAUUAUUUGUGUUUGUAAGUCAGUUUUUCAUAUUAAUUUUUAAAUUACAUGAGCAUUUUUAAAUCGUAAUAUUUUACAUACUGUUUGUAUAACCUUUGUAAUAAAUGAAUAACAUAUA